rnacentral:rRNA from 1 species
CCCUUAGAUGUCCGGGGCCGCACGCGCGCUACACUGAAGGAAUCAGCUUGGCUUUCUCCCUGACCCGAAAGGGUUGGGAAACCCGUUGAAUCUCCUUCGUGAUAGGGAUUGGGGCUUGAAAUUGUUCCCCAUGAACGAGGAAUUCCCAGUAAGCGCGAGUCAUAAGCUCGCGUUGAUUACGUCCCUGCCCUUUGUACACACCGCCCGUCGCUACUACCGAUUGAACGGUUUAGUGAGGGCCUCGGAUUGGUCUCGGCCCGCUCUUUACCGGGCGGCGCCGUUGGUCGAGAAGACGCUCGAACUUGAUCGUUUAGAGGAAGUAAAAGUCGUAACA